rnacentral:rRNA from 1 species
GACGAACGCUGGCGGCGUGCCUAAUACAUGCAAGUCGAGCGAGUCUGCCUUGAAGAUCGGAGUGCUUGCACUCUGUGAAACAAGAUACAGGCUAGCGGCGGACGGGUGAGUAACACGUGGGUAACCUGCCCAAGAGAUCGGGAUAACACCUGGAAACAGAUGCUAAUACCGGAUAACAACAGAUGAUGCCUAUCAACUGUUUAAAAGAUGGUUCUGCUAUCACUCUUGGAUGGACCUGCGGUGCAUUAGCUAGUUGGUAGGGUAACGGCCUACCAAGGCGAUGAUGCAUAGCCGAGUGGAGAGACUGAUCGGCCACAUUGGGACUGAGACACGGCCCAAACUCCUACGGGAGGCAGCAGUAGGGAAUCUUCCACAAUGGACGCAAGUCUGAUGGAGCAACGCCGCGUGAGUGAAGAAGGGUUUCGGCUCGUAAAGCUCUGUUGUUGGUGAAGAAGGACAGGGGUAGUAACUGACCUUUGUUUGACGGUAAUCAAUUAGAAAGUCACGGCUAACUAAGUG